rnacentral:sRNA from 1 species
GGACAGGCCUGAGGAGACGAGCACCAUCAUCCGUGGCCUCAAUGCCAGCACGCGCUACCUCUUCCGCGUGCGGGCCAGCGUUCAGGGGCUCGGGGACUGGAGCAACACAGUAGAAGAGUCCACCCUGGGCAACGGUGAGAGGGCAGGGCCCACAGGACCCCCGGGCUCUGAGCAGGGAGAGCUCAGCACGCUCUCCUUCCACAUCACGCCCUACUGCGGAGCUAGCGCAUCCCAGGCCCCUCCCGACAAAGACUCAGCCCCGGUCCUGGGGACUCAGCCUUCCCUUCUAAUGAUCCACUGUCCCAGGGCUGGGAAAAUCAUGUCGCCCCUCUGACACCCCUCAUCCCUUCCUUCAUGUGGCCCAAGUGAUUUCCUGACAGUCCUGGCACUGGGAUCUUUCACCUCUCCCUCUGUGUAACCCCAUGGUGGCCUCUGGGUUCCCUGACCCAGGUGUCCCCACAAUCUGCCCCUCUCACUGUGUCCAGGGCUGCAGGCUGAGGGCCCAGUCCAAGAGAGCCGGGCAGCUGAAGAGGGCCUGGAUCAGCAGCUGAUCCUGGCGGUGGUGGGCUCCGUGUCUGCCACCUGCCUCACCAUCCUGGCCGCCCUUUUAACCCUGGUGUGCAUCCGCAGAAGCUGCCUGCAUCGGAGACGCACCUUCACCUACCAGUCAGGCUCGGGCGAGGAGACCAUCCUGCAGUUCAGCUCAGGGACCUUGACACUGACCCGGCGGCCAAAACUGCAGCCCGAGCCCCUGAGCUACCCAGUGCUGGAGUGGGAGGACAUCACCUUUGAGGACCUCAUCGGGGAGGGGAACUUCGGCCAGGUCAUCCGGGCCAUGAUCAAGAAGGACGGGCUGAAGAUGAAUGCAGCCAUCAAGAUGCUGAAAGGUCCACUGGGGCGACCCCUGGCCCAGCCCUGAUGCUCUCCUUUGUCCCACAAAUCCCAGGCCCCACCUGGCUUCCUCCAGCAAUUGACCCCAGCCCUUGCCAGCCCUUUCUCCAGAGUUAUUUCUGGCAAAAGUAAUAUUGGAUUCUUUACACAGAGUAUGCCUCUGAAAAUGACCAUCGUGACUUUGCGGGAGAACUGGAAGUUCUGUGCAAAUUGGGGCAUCACCCCAACAUCAUCAACCUCCUGGGGGCCUGUAAGAACCGAGGUGAGCCCCCAGCUCAUCACCUACCCCUUCUUCCAAACCCCCAUCCUCAGCCAUCACCUCCACCACAUGAGUAGCUUGCCAGGGGCUGCUGGUGACCUGUGCAAAACCCUUAAUCCUCCUUCAUCCCUGUCUGUUACUAUCGGGUGCCUGCUCCAACCCUAGGUUGCCUGUGUCUAAAUCACCACUGUCUGUCUCUUUGCCUCUCAGGUUACUUGUAUAUCGCUAUUGAAUAUGCCCCCUACGGGAACCUGCUAGAUUUUCUGCGGAAAAGCCGGGUCCUAGAGACUGACCCAGCUUUUGCUCGAGAGCAUGGGACAGCCUCUACCCUCAGCUCCCGGCAGCUGCUGCGUUUCGCCAGUGAUGCGGCCAAUGGCAUGCAGUACCUGAGUGAGAAGCAGUUCAUCCAUAGGGACCUGGCUGCCCGGAAUGUGCUGGUCGGAGAGAACCUGGCCUCCAAGAUUGCAGACUUCGGCCUUUCUCGGGGAGAGGAGGUUUAUGUGAAGAAAACGAUGGGGCGUCUCCCCGUGCGCUGGAUGGCCAUUGAGUCCCUGAACUACAGUGUCUAUACCACCAAGAGUGAUGUGUGAGUGUGAGAUCAGAGGGCACAGGAGGGCUUGGCCCCCAAGAAUCACCCAGGCCUGACCUAGACAUAUCUCAGAAAUGUCAUGGGUGGUCUAAGGCAUGACCUGCGCUGUGUUCCAGGUGUGACACAGGUGUGUCUUGGGUAUAAAGUACCCAGCCAAGUUGGGGCUUGCUGGAAGGAGUCUUGGAAGGUGUUUCAGGAAUAGGACUGGGGUAAAGGUAGUUUCGGAUUACGUUUGUGUAAGUGACGGGGGAUGCCUUGGAGAGGUUUGGGAAUGCUGGCGGAUGCUUCCUGAGGUAGAUGGAGAGGCCACUCAGGAAUUGCUCUCAUCUUCCUCCCUGAAGGGCAAGGUCAUGCCCACCUGAGGAUCUUACCAGAGCAUGACCCCCAAGACUCCCUCUCUGUGCCCCCUCCCCUGCAGACAGCCCUCUUGGCAUACUCCUCCUGUCUCUCCAGGGAUGUGCAUCUUGGUCUGAACCUACCCCUUGCCCCAAGCCCUUUGGCCUUGCCUGCAUGGCUUACUGCUUACCACACUGAUUGCUCCUCUGACCACUACAAGCCUACUUCUUGCUUCUGCCCCAACACUCCCUAGAUUCCCUCCACCCCUUUGAACUCUCUCCCCUGGUCUCAGGGCUGAAGCACACUACACAAAGGCUGUUAAAGUGUGAGAUGCAGUCAAGAGUAAGAGCUUUGGAGCCAGACUGCCUGAGUUUGAAUGCUUGCUCUGCCACUAACUAGCUGUAUGGCCUUGGGCAAUCUAGCUAACCUCUCAGUGCCUCAGUGUCUUCAUCUGUAAAAUGGCAAGACUAAUAGAACCUGUAUCAUAGGAUUGGUGUGAGGGUUAAAUGAAUUAACAUGUCUGUUAAAUGACCAGUGCCUGGACCACAGUAAGUGCUCAAUAAAAAUGUUAACUCAGCUGGCUGUGGUGGCCCACGUAUGUAAUCCCAGCACUUUGGGAGGCCAGGCAGGCAAAUCACUGGAGACCAGGAGUUUGAGACCAGCCUGGGCAAGAUGGCAAGACCCUGUCUCUACUAAAAAUACAAAACAUGGCUGGGCAUGGUGGCUCACGCCUGUAAUCCCAGCACUUUGGGAGGCCGAGGCGGGCAGAUCACAAGGUCAGGAGAUCGAGACCAUCCUGGCUAACACAGUGAAACCCCAUCUCUACUAAAAAUACAAAAAGAAAUUAGCCUGGUGUGGUGGCGGGCACCUGUAGUCCCAGCUACUUGGGAGGCUGAGGCAGGAGAAUGGCGUGAAUCCAGGAGGUGGAGCUUGCAGUGAGCCGAGAUCUCGCCACCGCACUCCAGCCUGGGCGACAGAGCGAGACUCUGUCUCAAAUAAAUAAAUAAGUAAAUAAA